rnacentral:piRNA from 1 species
UUGUAGCUGUGCCUGAAGGAAC